AGAGAGAGAGGGAAGAAAAAAAAGAGAGAGAGAGAAAAAAACAGACGGGUUAGGUUGGGUGGGGCUGGUGUAGGUUAAGAAAAGGCCAUGUUGCAGGGCCGGGCCGUUUGUGUGUGUGUGUGUGUGUACGUGUGUGUGCGAGCCUGUUGUGUGUGUAUACCCCGGGUAGCGGCGUGCAAUAGCGUGGCGGUCCUCACUGCCCUGGCGGUUGGUGCGCGCUCAACACGUCGUCGGAGGCUCCAGCGGUAACGCCAACAGCUGAUGCGGUGAUGAGAGGCGAAGCGACGCUAACAAUUUUGGGUCAUUCCGUUGGUUUGUGAUGGUGGAAAUGCUGAGUGUUGGUUUGUGAUGGUAGAAAUGCUGAGUGUUGGUUUGUGAUGGUAGAAAUGCUGUUUGUUGGUUUGUGAUGGUAGAAAUGCUGAGUGUUGGUUUGUGAUGGUAGAAAUGCUGAGUGUUGGUUUGUGAUGGUGGAAAUGCUGAGUGUUGGUUUGUGAUGGUGGAAAUGCUGAGUGUGGGAUUGUGAUGGUGGAAAUGCUGAGUGUGGGUUUGUGAUGGUCGAAAUGCUGAGUGUGGGUUUGUGAUGAUGGAAAUGCUGUUUGUUGGUUUGUGAUGGGGGAAAUGCUGAGUGUUGGUUUGUGAUUUUUGUUGAGAUCGUGAUGGUGGUUGAUUCAUGAAUGUUAUUUUGUGGUCCUAUAAAUGUUGAAUGUUGCUUUGUGAUUAUGUCAAUGUUGAGUGUUAGUUUGUGAUGGUGCGAAUGCUGAAUGUUAGUUUGUGAUGACGUAACUGCCGAAUGAUGGUUUGUGAUGAUGCAAAUGCUGGACGUUAGUUUGUAACGUUUGUUGAGAUCGUGAUAUUGAUUGAUUUAUGAUUGUGAUUGCAAGAUGAUGAAUAAAGUGAGUUCUAUAAUAUAAUAUAUUAUAAUAUGAGUUAUGGUCAUAUUUGUUAUGGAUGUUGUAAUAACAGGAAUGUUUUUAAAUAAAAUGUAAUUUAUAUUAGGGUAUAGUGAUGCUUAUUUCGAAAUAAGAAAGGGAACUAAACCACAGAUAAUGAUGAUUAUGUAACAAUAAAAUCAACAGCGGUGAUAACUCAAACAGGCAAUACGAAAAUAAUAUUUAAGAUACAAAAAACUAGAAAAAAAAAUCAAUUGAUUAAUAAAAAAAAUGAAUAAAAA